CUUGCCUCAAACAGAGCAUAUUUCCCAUUUUCUUACAAAAUAAGAGUCAUGUUCCUUGUAUGCCCUAUAUGUAUAUAUUCCUACAACAUACAUACAUACUACACUUAGGUGCAAUGUAGUCACUAUUUUCCUUAGACAUUCGGAGAAGUAAAGACAUAAAGAGGAACUCAUAUAUAUUUUCCAUAAAGAGGAAUGCCCUGCAAAAUUUUAAAAUGGUGAAACUUUUAUACAUGCUUGCUAGUAAUUCUGAGCCAAAUGCAAUAGAGAUGUAGAAUGUCACAUCUAUGACAUGAAUAAUUAUAACUUUAGUCAUUCAGAAUUUCAGUGCUAAAGGUAAUCUGAAUGUCAAAUACAGAAAGGUUUACCUCUGUCAUUGUAUGAACUUAUUUUGAGGGAUUUGAAUAUUGAGAGAAUUCCUUAUUUGGCCCUUUCUUAAAAUCUGGUUCCCUAUUUGGCCCUAGAAAUUUCAUUUUUCCCUUUUUGACAUCAUAAAUUCAUUUUAUUCCUCCCAUGACACUUCUAUCACUUUUUGCUGUUAACACCAUCAAAUGUGACUUGAAAUGUCUUAUUUACCCCUGCUUUACCACGUCGGAAAAAAAUGAAAAAUUUAGUUGCGGUGCGAGGCAUGGAGGAGGGCGCGGCGGCGCUGUGCAGGCCCAAGUCGCGGCACCGGAUGUCACGCCCCGAGACCCUCCAGUUGCUGCACCUCUCACUAGUGCAAAGGCCAAACAAACCUGUGGCCACCAUGCAAAGUCUCCACGUAGCCAUUUGAAUGUCCUAAGUAUUUCUAGAGUGUUGCCAGCACAUGCAUGUACAUCCCAUAAAUAUCAGGCCACAUAGCUAGCUAGCUACUUCAUGAUUAGUUUGUACUUCUAUUUACUUUGUACUACUGCUGAGUCAGACCGACAUGAGCCAGAGGAAAAACUCCACAUCUAUUCUUCUCUUCUCACAAGUUCUCUAUAUAUUGGCAUGCGUACUACUUAGUUUCGGAGGAUUUCCUCCACCCGUGUACAUCUUCCCAUUAUCCAUGUACUAAUCUUGGUGUAGCAUAUCUUAUUUUCUUAAUUAUUUAUUUAAACAAAUAAUACAAAUUUAAUUAUCUAACUUAACUCAACAACUUAAAAUAAAUAUCCUUAAAAAUCAGGGUUAUUACACCGGAGGUCCGUUGGUGGCAGGGGCGUGCUAACUGGGUCGCCGUGGCUGCGUGCUUUCCAUGGUCCAGUGUGUACUCUUCGUGCGUGUGUGAUGUGAUGUGUGUGUUGUGUGCAAAUAGAGAAAUUGAGAGAUGGAUCUCUUCUACACGUUGUGCGUGAAGAGAGAAACCGUGAGAUUGUUGUGCAUGUCUGUACUGCUCGUACAUGUUAAUUAGUGCACUGGUUCUUAUUAAUAUGGGUUUCUCAGUACAAUCUUAUAAUAUAAUUUCGUUGCAAAUCCAGGGCACUGAAGCAUUUUGUCCACGCGCCUACAUCGCCAUAGCUUUUGACUUCCAGCUCAUAAUUUUAGUCACAAAAUACAUCAGGGGUAAAAUGGAUUUUUCAUGUUGCAUUUAACGGUGUUAGUUGUCAAAACUGACGGAAAUGUCAUAAAGGGAACAAAAUGAAGUUUGAGUGUUAAAACAGGAAGAAAUUUUUUACCAGGGCCAAAAAAGGAACCAAAUUUUAAGGAAGGGCCAAAUAAGAACAGCAGGAUUAUGGAUAGUUCCGAGAAGGCGCCUCCCGAUCAAGGCUAUUAAUACUCUUGUUGUACUUGUGAAGUCCGACAUCCUAGUGCUAUGUCUCGGCUGUAUGGGUGUCAAGGAAAUUUUCAACCUGGCCUGAUGGAUGCAAGUGUUUCCUACUCUCGUAUCUCUAUGGUGAUCAAGACUCAGCGAUCCAUGACACACAGAACUUUGGCUCACUGCUCUCACAAAAAGGGGUAAACAUGCAUGGCGUGCCAUAACUGGGUCUGGUUUGCAAGGAAGCAUUCUGUUGUCUGGCCAUUAUUAUUGUGGUCACCUAUACAAAUCGAACUGAUCUGACAUGCUCAUCCUCCAUUCAUGGGUGAUUGUUGUCAUUAGCUCCACUCUUAUCACCUUACCAAAUCUGAAGCCUCGCUUCUCUCCUGGAUGUGCAUGUUGGUGGAUGGAUGGAUGCAUUCAGCAAAGCACAGAGGCAGAAGUCCACCAGUCCAAUCUUCAUCCUUGACUCUCAAAAAUCUGCAUAGGCACAACUCCAUUAUGCAUUACAAUAUGACACCAUGCUUUAGCCUCAUCAAUCUUUGUAAAGUUUGUGGAUGGACAUUUAGUUUGUUUUGAUAACUAAAGGGGAAAACCUUUGGCCAGAGCUGGACAUGAGAGCAAAGCGAGGGAUAAAGGAUUACAAGGCAGUGCACUAUGUCUUAAAGUCCCUGGCAACAUCUGUUGUGCUAAUGAAAACUGGUGUCCUCAACCAAAUUGAGGGCCACAAAUUUUAUUCAGUACUCCAGCUAGGUAUUGCUAA